rnacentral:rRNA from 1 species
AUUGAACGCUGGCGGCAGGCCUAACACAUGCAAGUCGAACGAGUGGCGGACGGGUGAGUAAUGCUUGGGAAACUGCCUGAUGGAGGGGGAUACCUCCUGGAAACUGUAGCUAAUACCGCAUACCAUCGGAUGAGCCCAAAUGGGAUUAGGUAGUUGGUGGGGUAAAGGCUCACCUAGGCGACGAUCCCUAGCUGGUCUGAGAGGAUGACCAGCCAAACUGGAACUGAGACACGGUCCAGACUCCUACGGGAGGAAGCAGUGGGGAAUAUUGCACAAUGGGCGCAAGCCUGAUGCAGCCAUGCCGCGGGUAUGAAGAAGGCCUUCGGGUUGUAAAGUACUUUCAGCGGGGAGGCGUUACCCGCAGAAGAAGCACCGGCUAACUCCGUGCCAGCAGCCGCGGUAAUUC